AUUUAUAUAGUUUAAUAAAAACAUUAUUUUUUCAAAAUAAAAUUAAAUAUUUAUUUUAUAAAUA
rnacentral:tRNA from 1 species